rnacentral:rRNA from 1 species
AUGGAUAUGACAGUGAAGUACUUUGAGAGGAGGAAGGCCGAGAAUCCAGAGUUUUUCUUUGCGAAGCAAAAAGAUCCUGCAACGAACUCUGUCACUGCAUUGUUUUGGGUUGAUGGGAGGACAAGGGCGCUGUACCCGAAAUAUAAAGAUUGCGUGUUCUUUGACACAACUUUCUGCACUAACAGAUACAUCAUGCCCUUUGGUCCUAUAGUUGGUAUCAACAACCACCUCCAAACCAUUUCACUCGGGUGUGCUAUGUUGCCGGAUGAGACUAUUGAAACGUUCAAGUGGGUCUUUGAGCAACGGAUGGUUGCAAUGGACAAUGAGCAUCCAAAGAACAUAAUGACUGACCAGGACCAAGCAAUGGCAACAGCUAUAGAGCAGGUGCUCCCAAAUACUUGCCAUAGGUGUUGCAAGUUUCAUGUGUUUGGCAACGCGCAUUCUAAGUUGGGAGGCUGCUUAGAUAUGAGGCAUUUGCAGAUGUGUUUUACACUUGUAUCAACAACUCUGAAACAGUUGAAGAAUUUGAGGAAACAUGGCAGCACAUGUUGGAGUGUUUCGAAGUUGCUGAAAACAAACACUUGA